rnacentral:lncRNA from 1 species
UGAAAUGAUUCAAUAAUUUGAUUUUGGGUGAAAAGUUUGUGUCUUUUUGCAAUAUUUAGUUGAAUUGUGUUGAAAAGUUUGUCUUUUUGCAAUAUUAAGUUGAGUUAUGGUGAGAAGUUUGUGUUUUAUGCAAUAUUAAGUUGAGUUAUGGUAAAAGUUUGUAUCUUUUGCAAUAUUCAGUUGAAUUAUGUUGAAAAGUUUGUGCCUUUUGCAUCAUUCAGUUGAGUUAUGUCGAUAAUUUUGUGUCUUUUGUAUCAUUCAGUUGAAUUAUGUUGAAAAGUUUGUGUCUUUUGCAACAGUCAGUAGAAUUUUGUUGAAAAGUUUAGUGUCUUUUGCAACAUCCAGUUAUAUUGUGUUGAAAAGUUUGUAUCUUUUCAACCACCUCCUCAACCAGUAAUCAGUUUUCCUCUGCCAGUUCCUCCACCUGGAGCAGUACUUGAACCUUCUGAAUACUAUGCUCGUGGCUAUCAGUCCGUUCCAGGUACCCCUUUUGUUCUCAUCUCAGAAUUCAUUCUGGAUUGAUUAAUUUUCUUGAAAUGAUUCAAUAAUUUGAUUUUGGGUGAAAAGUUUGUGUCUUUUUGCAAUAUUUAGUUGAAUUGUGUUGAAAAGUUUGUCUUUUGCAAUAUUAAGUUGAGUUAUGAUAAAAGUUUGUGUUUGCAAUAUUCAGUUGAAUUAUGUUGAAAAGUUUGUGCCUUUUGCAUCAUUCAGUUGAGUUAUGUCGAAAAGUUUGUGUCUUUUGUAUCAUUCAGUUUGAAUUAUGUUGAAAAGUUUGUGUCUUUUGCAACAUUCAGUAGAAUUGUGAUGAAAAGUUUAUAGUCUUUUGCAACAUCCAGUUAUAUUGUGUUGAAAAGUUUGUGUCUUUUACAACAUUCAGUUGAAUUGUGUUACACAGUUUGUGUCUUUUUCAACAUUCAGUUGAAUUAUGUCAAAAAGUUUGUG